rnacentral:rRNA from 1 species
CAGCAGCCACGGUAAUACGAACCGUGCGAACGUUAUUCGGAAUCACUGGGCUUAAAGCGCGUGUACGCGGGCCGCCACGUCGGCUGCUGAAAUCCCCCGGCUCAACCGGGGAACGGGCACCGAUACGAGCGGCCUCGAGGGGGGUAGGGGGGUCUGGAACUUCCGGUGGAGCGGUGAAAUGCGUUGAGAUCGGAAGGAACGCCCGUGGCGAAAGCGAGGCCCUGGACCCUUUCUGACGCUGAGACGCGAAAGCCAGGGGAGCGAACGGGAUUAGAUACCCCAGUAGUCCCUGUCUCUUAUA